GCCUGGCUGGCUCAACUGGUAGAGCAUGUGACUCUUGAUUUUAGGGUCAUGAGUUCAAGUCCCAUGCUCGGUG
rnacentral:tRNA from 1 species